UAAAAUUUAAAUUGAAAAUACUAAAAUAGUAAAUAAAUAUUUAUUGAAACUUAAAUAAUUUGGCGGUAUUUUAGUUCAUUUAGAGGAAUCUGUUUAAUAAUUGAUAUUCCACGAAUAAAUUUACUUAAUUUAUAAUUUUGUAUAUCGUUGUUAUAAAAAUAUUUUUUAAUAAAAUUAAUAUUUAAAAAUUAAUAUUUAAAAUUAAAUCAGAUCAAGAUGCAGAUUAUAAUUAAGAAUAUAAUGGAUUACAAUAAAUUUAUUUAAAUGAAUUUUAAUUUUUAAUAAUUAAUUGAAAGUGGAUUUAAAUGUAAUUUUAUUUAGUUUAAUAAAAUGAUUAAAAAUUAAAAUAUGU
rnacentral:rRNA from 1 species